rnacentral:misc_RNA from 1 species
GAUGAAGAACGUAGUGAAAUGCGAUACGUAAUGUGAAUUGCAGAAUUCAGUGAAUCAUCGAGUCUUUGAACGCACAUUGCGCCCCCUGGUAUUCCGGGGGGCAUGCCUGUCCGAGCGUCAUUGCUGCCCUCAAGCACGGCUUGUGUGUUGGGCCUCCGUCCUCCUCCCGGGGGACGGGCCCGAAAGGCAGCGGCGGCACCGCGUCCGGUCCUCGAGCGUAUGGGGCUUCGUCACCCGCUCUCGUAGGCCCGGCCGGCGCUUGCCGACACAUCAAUCUUUUUUCCAGGUUGACCUCGGAUCAGGUAGGGAUACCCGCUGAACUUAAGCAUAUCAAUAAGCGGAGGA